CAUGUUGAGGUUGAAGGGGACGAAUUCCCAAUCAUCGUGGAACUUCUCGGCCAUUGGAGCAGCGAGGGACUAAACAAGCUCUAAUUGAAGAAGAAGAGAAGGCUUGGGUGGAUUGGUGUUUGAAAACUGACACCAGGGGUCUGUUUAUAUAGGGGUCAAAAAGUGCCUCUAGGGGUUGUUCGGGUUGCUCCCGUCGAUGUGCGUGCGAAACUUUCCAUCUAUAGGAUUAUUCGGAUUACCAUAAGUGUGUUUUCCAUAACGGAGGAAAUCGGGGCCGAGAGGGGUCAGGAGCUGGGCGCCCGCCCUCUCUCUGGCUCCUCUGUGGGCCCGCUUCCUCGAGCGCUGUUGACACUUGCUAACACCACUUCAAAACUAGGUUGUCAUCCCCAGCAUGGCACUAGAGUGUACUAUGGUAUUUAUACGCACACAGAUAAUCCGCAAGCGCACGGAUACCGUUGAAGCUUUUACCCGGUUAAAGGUUUUAUCGUAUCCACAGGGAAAC
rnacentral:lncRNA from 1 species